rnacentral:rRNA from 1 species
AACGAACGCUGGCGGCGCGCCUAACACAUGCAAGUCGAGCGAGAACGGAUCCUUCGGGAUCCCAGUAAAGCGGCGCACGGGUGAGUAACACGUGGGUAACCUACCCUGGGGUGGGGAAUAACUGCUCGAAAGGGCAGCUAAUACCGCAUAAGACCACGGGAGCUCUGGCUCCAGGGGUCAAAGGGUGUCUUCUUCGGGGGAUACCUGCCACAGGACGGGCCCGCGGCCCAUUAGCUAGUUGGUAGGGUAAUGGCCUACCAAGGCGACGAUGGGUAGCUGGGCUGAGAGGAUGAUCAGCCACACUGGAACUGGGACACGGUCCAGACUCCUACGGGAGGCAGCAGUGGGGAAUCUUGCGCAAUGGGCGAAAGCCUGACGCAGCGACGCCGCGUGGGUGACGAAGGCCUUCGGGUCGUAAAGCCCUGUCAAGGGGGAAGAAAAGCGGGUGGGAAAUCCACUCGCCUGACGGUACCCCUGAAGGAAGCACUGGCUAACUCCGUGCCAGCCGCCGCGGUAACAC